UUCGCAAUGCCCGAAAGGGUGACGAUGCGACGCCGCGUGAGCGAAGAAGGCCCUAGGGUUGUAAAGCUCUGUCGAGGGUUAUGAAAUAUAGAUGGGUUAAUACCCCAUUUAUUUGACAAAAGCCCAAAAGGAAGCCACGGCUAACUCUGUGCCAGCAGCCGCGGUAAUACAGAGGUGGCGAGCGUUGUUCGGUAUUAUUGGGCGUAAAGAGCACGUAGGUGGUUUUGUAAGUCAGGUGUGAAAGCCUUCUGUUCAAAGGAAGAACGGCAUCUGAAACUGCAGAUCUUGAGUGUAGGAGGGGAGAGUGGAACUUCUGGUGGAGCGGUGAAAUGCGUAGAUAUCAGAAGGAACGUCGGCGGCGAAAGCGACUCUCUGGCCUAUUACUGACACUGAGGUGCGAAAGUUGGGGGAGCAAACGGGAUUAGAUACCCCGGUAGUCCUAACCGUAAACGAUGGGCACUAAGUAGAGGGGUUUU
rnacentral:rRNA from 1 species